CAUGUUGAAAAAGGUGUGCUCUGACGACGUGGAGGGCCACUCCUGACGAUUCGCGGCGCUCAUGUAGCUCGCCGCCCACCUACGCAACCCAUUUUUAUAUUCCGCCGGUCGCGGUGGGGGUGGGCAUGUGCAGAGCUCCUGUGCUUCUGUACGGGUAUUGCUUUUGGUGUUCACCUAGCUGGCUGUCUUUCGUGAUGAUGAUGGUGGGAGGCUUUGUGGUUUCUCCUUUGCGUUGCUGAGUGUAUCAUCUUCCCAUUUUUGCCGUGUAGUGAUCGUUGCUUCGCUCCUUGACACCCCCCUCCCUACCCCCUCCCAAUCCGAACGCCGUCAUCCAUGCCACGUUUCUUUGGUGUUGUUGUCUUUAUGGUUCCUUUUCCGUUCUCAUGCCGCUGCUUGCUUCUUGUUUUUCUCUCUCUUGCUCGCGCACUCACUCGCUGCCUUGCUGGCUUCAUUUUUCUUUGUUGGUGUGUUUCUCUUGUACGUGCGGGCGUGUGUGGGCUCUCAAAACGUUCGCGCAUCGGUCGGCGAUGGCGGCUGUGGUCGCUGCCGCCCUUUCGAAGACGGGAAUUUCGCUUCGCGUGUUUCUUCAUUUUUUCGUUGUCUCGUUCGCCUGCUUGUUUCUUCUCUCCCUUCUUUUUGCACUCGCAUGCUUGCACUCCUGCACGCAGCCAUUCAAGGAGGCACUUUUUGUGCCAGUGAGAGGCAGUCCCAACGCGAGGGGCCGCAUCACCACCUCCUCGACCUUGCGGUCCUUCUCUUCCCGUUCCUCCGUGCCGUGCCAAGAAACGUUACCCCUGCAUACGCACACAGACGAUAGACCCCCACCCACAAAAAAAGCGACCCAGUCCCAGCGUCUGUGGACGUAGAUAGAGGGACGCCAUGCACUUGUGCUUGUCGUCGCGUGCAUGUGCGCAUGAUUCUGUGCGGCUGCAUUUGUGCGUGUAAAUGGACGCUUAUUCCUUUCCUUCUUCGUCUUGCCCUCACCCCUUUUUUUUUGGUUUUGUGAUUGGAGUCUCUUUUGUUUCUCUUCAUUUUUUUCCGGCUCAGUUCUCUCUUCCUUGUAUUACUCCCCUUCCCUCCCAGGCCCUGCACACACCACCUCGCUCGCUGCGUGUUUCUGUGGACGCGUGCGCCCGCCUCUUCCCUGCUGCCUCUUCUCCUCGUACUUUCUCGUUUCUCUUGCUUGUGUCCUCUUGAGUGAAGCGCGGCGUCCGCUCUGUUUUCUUUGUUGUUUGCCGUUUGGUUCUUUCAGUCUUUGUGUCUUGGUGCUUCAGCGUUCGCUGCGCACUCUUUUCCGCUCGGCACACGCAGCACGUCUGCUGCUGCUGCUGUUCCUGCCGCCAUACCAGUGCGCUCACGCGUAGCCUUUCUCGCCCUUCUUUUUUUGUCGUUGCGCACACGUAGACAUACACAUACACACACACACACACACACACACACACACACACACGUAAUGACCGCCUAUAGGCGUCACGUUUUUUUUUUUCCGUUGUGUGUGUGUGUGUGUCUCUCCGUGUAUGCGCAUGCACGUGCCGCAGUUGGAGGUGCUUGCUCGCCCCUGUAUGCACGUGUGGUCGAUCUUGUCCCCUUUCGCCUUAUUUCUUCUCGCAGGCCUCUUCAUGGACGUCACAGACGAAGAGAGCCAAGAGGGGAAGGGGAGGGCCGGACACGAGGAGGGUCGAGUGAGAAGAACACGCACCCCAUUGAGCCUCGGUGAUUUCGUUUUGGUGUGCACUCUCCCAUUCUGCAUUCUUCCCUUUUUCCUUGUGAGGUGGUGUGCAGGCGCGAGCGCCGGAGUGUCUGCUUGGCAUUUUCAAGCGUGUCUGAGCAACUCCUUCAUCUCUCCGAGUUGUUCGUUUUUCGUUUUCUUUCGGCUCGUUAGUCUCUGGGUUUUUGUCAUUCUUCCAUUGAACCUCAAAUCUUUUCAUCUCAACCUAGCUAGAGGCGCGUUUCUCUCUUUUUCUCCGCUUCUCUGCCGUUCUUCUCCCUCCUCUGCUCGACUCGCGACGCGUUGUGCACACGAUGCGCUAUCGCCGUAGCGGCGCGGAGGGAGGCGGAGGAUUAUGAGGAUAUACGCAACAUAAGAGAAGGUGAGGCAUACAGUUGUGGAGGGAGGGAGGGGGGGGCAGGGAUAAGGGAGUGGAGAAGUGCGGACGGAGAACAUAGCAGAGGAGAGGAGAGAGAGAGCAGCCUCGCCACUCACCCACACAAACACACCUGCACACAUUCAAGGGCGAUGAUGAUGAUGCGUGACUGUGUGUCUGCCCUCCUCUCUCUUUUUCUGUGAGUUUACCUCUCGCAUACGCUCCGACGAAAGGGACAAGGGGAAGGAGACGUCCACGGCGGUUUCGUGGUCGCGCCUUUCUCUCGCGGGUGUCUCCGCCACCUCCUCUCUGUUCUCUCUCCCUCUCCUACACGGCCUCUCUGUAGGCUUUGGGUUUGUUUCGCCCACAUGCCUGUUACGCUUUACCUUCGCUCCUGUACGGCAUCCUUUCUUGCCGCCCGUCUCUGACGGGGUCUCCGAUUCAGCUAGCCCUCGUCUUGCUCUCGCUGCACCGGUACGCUGCGCAUCACGGUGUCACCCUCCAAUCCUUGCGUUUUCGUUUCCUUCGGCAUCUUCGCUUGGACUUUGUCUGCCACGCGCGGACACCGAAGACACAAGUGUGUCCUCGUCUAGAGCGUGAGCAGCGUGUGUGCUUCUCUCGCGGUAAGUCUUAUGUGUCGGUGCACCGCAGAGAAGUGGCGGAGCCCAUGCGUCUGCACGGGGGGGCGUCAAGUAAAAUAGAGUAAUGCCAACCACCUUAAUGAAACACGACAAGAAAAACGAAGGAUGUACGAAGGGGCAAAGCAACAGCUGCGCGACCGGCACGCAUGCG
rnacentral:misc_RNA from 1 species